CACUUCCGCCCUCACUGGUUGCCGUGGUAACAGGCCUCCGGUGGAGGGCGGGGACCCUCGGAAGCCAGCUGGGUGGCGAUCGCUUGUCUGCCUUGGCAGGCCCCUUGUGCAGUCUUUUCCCGGCGUGAGCGUGCAGGGAUUGAAAAGGAAUGCUUUAUGGUUCAGCAGAGAGCCACCACGCAGGAUGCACUGGGACCUGAGAACCGUCGGGCAGUCCCACGAGCUCUUUCAUGACCAGCUCCAACCGACAAGUACACGCCCCUUCGCACUCCACUAGCUAGUAAGCUGAGCUACAAGGUGUGCCAGGCACCCAGGACGCCGAUUCACCGCUUCAGUGAAGGCCCAGCUCAAAUGCCACCUCUUCCAUGAAGACUUCCGUGAUCCACAAUGAUAGCAUCUCCAGCAAUUGCUUCUAUAAUGAAUAGCAUGAGUCAUUCUGCA
rnacentral:lncRNA from 1 species